rnacentral:rRNA from 1 species
GAUGAACGCUAGCUACAGGCUUAACACAUGCAAGUCGAGGGGUAACGAGAGGAAAGCUUGCUUUCCUUGUCGACGACCGGCGCACGGGUGAGUAACGCGUAUCCAACCUGCCCCCAACUAAGGAAUAACCUUGCGAAAGUAAGACUAAUACCUUAUAAUUUCCUCAGAUGUCAUCUGACGAGGAAUAAAGAUUUAUCGGUUGUGGAUGGGGAUGCGUCUGAUUAGCUUGUUGGCGGGGUAACGGCCCACCAAGGCAACGAUCAGUAGGGGUUCUGAGAGGAAGGUCCCCCACAUUGGAAAUGAGACACGGUCCAAACUCCUGCGGGAGGCAGCAGUGAGGAAUAUUGGUCAAUGGGCGAAAGCCUGAACCAGCCAAGUAGCGUGCAGGAUGACGGCCCUAUGGGUUGUAAACUGCUUUUAUACAGGAAUAAAGUUAGCCACGUGUGGUUAUUUGUAGGUACUGUAUGAAUAAGGACCGGCUAAUUCCGUGCCAGCCGCCGCAGUAA